AUGGCAUUGGCUGUAGCAAAUUCAAGCAUGUAUCUCGUGAUCUUCAUGAUUAGCAUGUCCUACCAAUGCAUCGCUCUCCUCGCUUCCGCAAUACCCACCAACUACACUGCUUCUGACAUGCUUGUUACUUCUGUUCAUGGCCGCCCCGUUACCAACACCACAGUGACCAUGGCCGACGGUGUACCAUCCGUAAACUUCUUAGAGCACGAGGCACCUCUCUUGUUACCCCCGAGCGAAUCCAAAGGCUGGGCGGCAGUUGAUGAUUCGAAUCCGGCCACGCAUCGUUACAGAGUUCUUACUAGUAAGGCUCCUAGGGAAGAUCCGGUAACCUGUUCUGCCCCUUGCAGAGGUAAUUGCACAAGCCAAACGGACAGAGUGAGUCCUAGGAAUCACCACAUCCCUUCUCCUUUUGUUCCCCCCGUUGCCUCAAACGGUAGCACAGCUGAGCGGCUUCCUUCUAUCCGCCGGCGAGUACAACGAAGAGUGCACCGUCGACACAAGAAGAAAGUUGACACCAUCAAAGUAAGGAAACUGCUGGGUGUUUAUCACCAUCCGACGAGAUUACAGAGUGAGCCUACAGGCUCGAGAGUUACCGCCGUAGCUGUAGGUUCUGUGGUGUCGGUCUUGCUCUGUGUCCUUGCAGGGCUUUUGCCGUGGUGUAUGUGUCGCAACUCGGCAACGGCAGCAUCUAUCGACUCGGAGUCCAUCCUGAGGCCUGAGCUACUCCAGCAAGCAGCAGGCCCUGGCCGAUACAACUACUGCGAGCUGGCAGCCGCAACGAGCAAUUUCGCCCAGAGCAAGAGGAUCGGGCGAGGGGGGUUCGGGUCGGUCUAUUGUGGCUACCUGGAUGAGCAGGACCGUCAUGUGGCAGUCAAGAUGUUCUCCAUGGAAUCGCUAGACCAAGGGAGUAUGGAGUUUGAGCACGAGGUGAAGAUCAUGAGCCAGCUCAGGCAUCGGAACGUCGUCCAGCUCCUGGGCUGGUGUGAUUGCCGGAAAGGGCUCUUGCUUGUCUAUGAGCUUGUGCCUGGAGGCAGCCUGGACAAGCGUCUCCAUGACCCUGAGAAACUGUUAACCUGGCAAGAAAGGUACAAGAUCGCACUUGGCCUAGGCUCAGCCCUACAAUACCUCCACAUGGAGUGCAACCAAUGUGUCAUGCACGGCGACAUCAAACCAAGCAACAUCAUGCUUGACUCGUCGAACAACGCCAAGCUAGGCGACUUUGGGCUAGCACGGCUUGUUGACCAUGGAGCAGAACCACAAGCAACGCAGGUAAUAGCGGGGACCGUCGGGUACAUGGACCCUGAGUUUGUGAGCAGCCAGAAGCGCGGCACAGAAUCAGAUGUCUAUAGCUUUGGCAUUGUGCUUCUUGAGAUCGCCUCUGGCAUGCGACCAGUGGCUUUGGGGCAGCCAGCAGAAGCCUCCGUGCAGCUGCUGAGACGCGUCUGGGACAUGUACGACCGCAACUCGAUCCUUGAUGCCGCAGAUAGAAAGCUCGGUGGCGAUUUCGACGGACACCAGAUGGAGCGCGUGCUUGUGACAGGUCUCUGGUGCGCGCAUCGCCACAAGAGCCAGCGGCCGUCCAUUGAGCAAGCCAUGGUCGCCCUGCGUCGUUGUGAAGAUGAUUUUGAGUCGCCGGUGGUUCCGGUUCCACUUCCGGCCAUGCAUUGGUCCGACUCAGAGCAAAUACGUUCCUUGGAGGAACAGGCAUAUGGCGACCUGCCCACCGGGAGCUCCAGUUCGGCAUGCUUGUCUGCUGCUACUGUUUAUCAUACGCUUGAGCACUCGUCUCAUCUUCAGGUACUCGACAGGAGGCAACUCUGCCUUGAAAGAAGAACGUACGACCAAGCCAAGGCUAACAAAGUGGCGGCGGGGCUUUAG
rnacentral:rRNA from 1 species